rnacentral:rRNA from 1 species
UACGUAGGGUGCGAGCGUUGUCCGGAAUUAUUGGGCGUAAAGAGCUCGUAGGCGGCUUGUCGCGUCGGAUGUGAAAGCCCGGGGCUUAACUCCGGGUCUGCAUUCGAUACGGGCAGGCUAGAGUUCGGUAGGGGAGAUCGGAAUUCCUGGUGUAGCGGUGAAAUGCGCAGAUAUCAGGAGGAACACCGGUGGCGAAGGCGGAUCUCUGGGCCGAUACUGACGCUGAGGCGCGAAGGCCAGGGGAGCAAACGGG